rnacentral:lncRNA from 1 species
GGAACAUCCAGUCCUGUGAGUCAGAGCGCUUCGGUGGCGCUUUCAGCGGCUGCUUCUGCCUCGCAACCGGCCCUGGUGCGUGUGCAGUUCUCAGGAGCAACUUGGGAGCUCCAGGCACAGGUCCCAGCUGCUGUGGUAGCUCUUUGAGGAGAUCAUCCAUUUCCUAGUGUCAGCAGGGCGAUCUGUCUUCAAUCAUUCCUGCUGUUUGCAGAGAGUAAAAAAUCACUCUGGGGAUUUGCUUCUGGGAACAGCGAUCCAUUUACUAAUGGGAGUCAACUGAGUGUCUGUGAGAAAUGAGGAUGCUGCAGAUGGAGUGAUAGGAUGUAGGGUCUGUAGUGAAUAUUUUCAGCCCAGGGAUAACUUGGUGUUCCCUGAAUUGGAUGUGUACUUCUGGUGCCCGAAGGAUCAUCUUAGGCAUAGCACUGGAAAAGUCAGGAAUAAUCAAAAGAUAAGAGCACCAAGUGGGAGGAAGCUGGAAGGACAAUUUUUAGAUUUGACCUUGGGUUCCAGUUCUCAUGGUGGGUCUGUGGUGUCAAAGUACACCUGUACUCUGUGGUGCUGGGGUACCUGUUUGUUCAUGUUUUGAGCUUGGAAGACACACUGGACAUGAAAUUCCAGGGAAGCUGCACUUGCAGUAGUGGCUGGAGCAAGAAGAAGUGGAAGCUGUUUGCUAUCUGCUUGUUCUCCACCUUCAGCUCUGUUUCCUGGGUCUCAGGAAUUGUCUCAUUGUACAGUCUGUGGCGUAACACUUUCCGUGCAAGGAUAAUUGCAGUGGAAGAAGGCAGUUGGAGCCAAGAGCCUGGACUAGGAUGCCCUAGGCCCCUGCCAAGCGCAGGUUACAAAACAGCAAAAAAAAGUCAACAAAAACAAAACAUGUCAACAGACUGGGAGUAGCACAGAAGAUAUACAAAAGAUAAUGACCAGUAAUGAUCAUUAAUGAUCAUCAACUCCAAACAUCACCCCUGGUGAUGGAGUUGGAGACACCUGGUCUGGAAAAGACUCAUAAGAACACCAAGGAAUGAGCAAUAAAUUAGCAUCGGUGGGAAGACA